UGGCGUGCUGCAGUCCAUGGGUUCACAAAGAGCUGGACACGACUUAGCAACUGAACAACAACACAGAACAUGCUGAGACCUGAGCCUGGCCCUAGCGAGCAUCCCGGUCUAUCAGAGCAACCCGGCUCUUGGGUUGGGUGUUGGCAUUGGUAUUAGGGUGGCUCACCAGGAUUCCAGUCUUCACAGAGAUGCACUGACCUUCUGGGAAAAAAGACCAAAGAAAACUUUGGCUUCCACACACCAGUGUUGGGGCAGACUGUCCUGGGACACUGGGAAGAGUGUCCAGGAGAGGCAGCAGCUGGGCUUGUCGUUGUCUUCAAAGGAAAGCACUUCUGAGCAGGGACCCUGAAGUGGCUUCCAACCAAGCCACUAAUCUCAGCACUCCAAGCAAACACUAAUCUCAGGUUCCUAAAAAGAGUGGCAAGGGUGCUUAGUAGAAACAUAGAAAUGAGAACUGGGGCAAUCUGACUUUUUAAACUGGGCCCAGACAGUUUAUACUUAAGGAAGCUGAAGUUCAGAGAGGGUGAGUUACUUCCCUGAAGUUGCACAGCAUUAGCCAGCAGAGCUGGAGUUGGAACAGCAGUGUGCAGGCCUUUCCCUUGGUUUGGGGCAGGGCCCACGCGGACGAGGGCAGCAGAAGCAGGGGCCGAGAACUCCCAGCUGGCAGUGCUGGCGCCGGCAGCUGGUAAGCUCUGGAUGUCAUGGAACAGGAAUCACGAGCCUCCCCAGGGACCAAGAGAAGCAGGCUGGGGCCUCCUGGGCGCCUCAUUCUCUGUCUGGGGGACGGCCUUCCCCUCCAGUGGGCGUGGCCGAGGAGGCAGUGACGUCACAAGGGGUACCCGCUCCCUAUGGCUCAGUGCUUGUUUGGAAGGGCCAUGUACACUGCACACUUGCCCUAAGUAAAUAACAAAGUAAAAAGGCAGGCUCUGUCACCCUGCCGCUCUGCAGUUCCCCUGAGUUUCGCUGUCCCUUGGAGCAGGAGGCUUCCAACUGAAGGAUGUUUAGUUCGCAGCCUCACCCACUCGCUGACCCGGGUGUCUGUAGUCUCCUCAGUUGCCUGGUGUCAAAGCUGCCCUGAGUAACACAGGGCUCCGAGCAGUGGAAGGCCUGGUAUGUUUGUUCCCCUCAUGGUUGCUGUGAAGUCAGAAGACACAUGGAAAUUGAUCUCUGAUUAGUGCGCUCAGCGGAACGAAGACUCUGCGGGGGAGGGGGGAGGAUAUUAUGACUCCCGUUUUCCUACCAAACAUCUGACAUUUUCAAAGUUUGGGAUGUUGUGGUGGAGACUAUUUCUUAUCAGAAGUAAUUUCUCAGUUGUAGAUUAAAACUUCAAAGAUUCAGUCCUUGGUCCUUGGCUCCCAGCGGGUCCUCAGUAACUCUCUGGGGUGGAAUGUUGACGAUCAAGCCUCUGUCCUCCAGGGCUUCAUAUCACACGGGAAACAUACUGACCACCUGUCCCUGGAAGUGGCGGAGCAGAUAAUAAAGCACUUUGCGCUUGGA